GGGUUGUCCGCGGGCCAGAGACGGUCAGGCUCGCUCUACCGCUCUCAGGCACCUGCCUUUCUCUGCGUUCCGGAAUGCGGCCAAGACCGAAUAAAGGAAAUUACAUAGUAAGCGGAGAUCGGGUGUCUGAGCAGCGCCUUGGAUCAAAUCCACUCAUGACAGGAACUUCUUGCAUCCAUAACCCCUCAGAAUGAAGAUAUGGAAAAAAAUGCCUAAUUAUGAAAAUCUUACAUGACAUUUCUAAUAUCUAGAGCCAGCAGGUAAAGGCACCUACUGCCAAAACUGACUAGUACAGGCAAGUGGAGGGAAAGAAUUCAGGAGAUGCAGGCAAGAGAUCAGAUAAAUGAAGAUUAUGUAUACUGAGACUCAGGACGUUUUGACUCAACCACAUAUCAACCAGUAUUUUUCAAUCUGAGGAAUGUUGACUAUUAAAGGACAUUGAGAAAUCAAGAUAGAAAUACCAGACAGUUUCCUGGCAGACUGAUUUCAUGUAUGUUGGGGGAAGCAAGAGGAAACAGACUAAAGUUUAGAGAACUACAUAAAAAUACUACAAGAAGCAACUGAUGUAUUUCUAACAAGAGAAGGGCACAAUCUGAUCCUCACCUUGGGAAGCCCCCUUUGGAUACAGUGGAUGUACAAGUAAAAAGUAAGAAAAUUUCAUAUCGAGGCUGUGUCGACUGAGAAAUGUCUUGCUGUCUAAAGGAAUUUCAAUAUUUGACGGAUGAGGAAUGGGUUCACAAAUCAGCACCAAGCACGUCAUGGGUGGUUUCUUGUACCCACACUGAGCAUGUCAGUAGGUCUGACAGCUCCAUCCAGUGAGAGUGUGUGUAAGACGGCAGUGACUCCCUGAACUGUGGGAGGAGAGUCCACACUUCACAGGAUUAAUUAUUCAUCUGUGCUGAUUUUGCUUGCGUGUCUAUGGGAGUGUGUCAGAUCUUGGAGUAACAGACCAUUGUGAGCUGCCAUGAGGAUGUGAAUUUGAAGUGGGGUCCCCCCUCCCGAAGAACAGUCAGUGGCCCUAACCACUGAGCCAUCUCUUCAGCCCCUCUCUUACUUCUCUUUUUGAGACAGGGUCUCACUCUGUAGCCUUGCCUGGCUUGAAACUAGUUACAUAAACCAGGCUGGCCUGGAAAUCAAGAGAUCUGCCUAUAUCUGCCUCCUAAGUGCUAGGAUUAAAGGAACUCACCGGCAUCCAGAAGUUUUCUCACACGUAAAUAACUGAUGGUGAGCCUCAUAACAGAAGCUUUAUCAAGAUGUGAGCUCACAUUGUGGGGAAGUGGCAACUGAUGAGCAAGCUCAUAAAAAACUUCAGACUCUUUGCUUCGCCGAGAUCUUGCUGCAUCUCUAGACUUUUCUUUUCGACGUUCAGAACUCAUCCUACUUAACAAAAAAAAAAAAAAAAAGAGAGAGAGACAAGAAUGUACAUGUUAGUUUGUCUUAACUCGAAUAAAAUUAAUUUUG
ensembl:processed_transcript